GGGCGUUUAGCGCAGUGGUAGCGCGUAUGCUUUGCACAUUCGCAUCCUAUGUAUAAGGUCCAGGGUUCAAUCCCCUGAACGUCCA
rnacentral:tRNA from 1 species